AUCCAGUUGACGAGUCCCAAAUAGGACGACACACUCGUCCUGGAU
rnacentral:hammerhead_ribozyme from 1 species